GUGUGAGGAUGACCAAAUAAGCACAAAAGAUGGCAUGAGUAAUGCAUCCAACAGUGAAGACAAUGAUCAUGAAGUGGACAGUGGAAAUUCCUCCACAACUGGACUGUUGGGUACUGACAUUGAAGAGAUCAACAAUGAAGAUGACCAACCAAACACAGAAGAUGACAUGAGUAAUGCUUCCAACAGUGAAGACAAUGAUGAUGAAGUGAACAGUGAAAACUCCUCCACAACUGGCCUGUUAGGUGCUGACAUUCAAGAGAGUGACAAUGAAGAUGACAAAAUAAACACAGAAGAUAGCAUGAGUAAUGCAUCCAACAGUGCAGAUGAAGAAGAUGAAAUGGACAAUGAAAACUCCUGCACAACUAGC
ensembl:lncRNA